AUGGGCUCCCUGGAGGCGCGGUACCGGCCGGCCGGAGCAGCUGAUGACACAGCUAAAAGAAGGACCCAGAAAAGUAAAAGUUUCAAAGAGGUUGAAAAGUUUGAUGUAUUUGUUCUAGAGAAAAGCUCCGGCUGCAAGUUCCGAUCCUUGCAACUUUUGCUCUUCGCUAUCAUGUCUGCUGCAUUUCUGACACUUCUAUACACUCCGUCUGUGUACGAGCAUCAGUUGCAGUCCAAUUCUCGGUUUGUUAAUGUUGGAUGGAUAUGGGAUAAGACUAUCCCUGAUCCGCGAUAUGUAUCUACUAUGCCCGUUCAGUGGGAUGAUGUGUAUAAAACUAUCGAAAGUCUGAAUGGUGGUGAGCAGAAGCUCAAGGUCGGACUCUUGAAUUUUAACAGCACUGAGUUUGGGUCUUGGACGCAAUUGCUCCCAGAAAGUGAGUUUUCGAUCAUAAGGUUGGAGCAUGCUAAUGAAAGCAUUACCUGGCAGACACUGUACCCUGAAUGGAUUGAUGAGGAGGAAGAAACAGAGAUACCAUCUUGUCCAUCGCUUCCAGAGCCUAAUUUCCCAAGAGGGACACACUUUGAUGUUAUUGCUGUGAAGCUUCCCUGUACCCGAGUUGGCGGGUGGUCCAGAGAUGUUGCCCGGUUGCAUCUGCAGUUGUCAGCAGCAAAAUUGGCCGUGACCGCCGCAAGAGGCAACCGUGGGGUACAUGUGAUGUUUGUGACGGAGUGCUUCCCUCUUCCGAAUCUCUUCUCUUGCAAGAAUCUUAAGAAACAUGAAGGCAAUGCUUGGCUAUACAAGCCUGACUCGAAGGCAUUAAAGGAGAAGCUUAGACUUCCGAUUGGAUCUUGUGAGCUUGCUGUUCCACUCAAAGCAAAAUCAAGACUUUACUCGGUAGACCGACGCAGAGAAGCAUAUGCUACCAUACUGCAUUCAGCAAGUGAGUAUGUCUGUGGUGCAAUUGCAGCAGCUCAAAGCAUUCGUCAAGCAGGAUCAACAAGGGACUUUGUUAUUCUUGUCGACGACACCAUAAGUGACCAUCACCGGAAGGGCCUUGAAUCUGCGGGUUGGAAGGUGAGAAUAAUCGAGAGGAUACGGAACCCAAAGGCUGAGCGUGAUGCUUACAAUGAGUGGAACUACAGCAAAUUCCGGUUGUGGCAGCUCACGGAUUAUGACAAGAUCAUAUUCAUAGAUGCUGAUCUGCUCAUCCUGAGGAACAUUGAUUUCCUGUUUACAAUGCCGGAAAUCAGUGCAACUGGCAACAAUGCAACACUCUUCAACUCUGGUGUCAUGGUUAUCGAACCUUCAAACUGCACAUUCCAGCUGUUAAUGAAUCACAUCAACGAGAUCACAUCUUACAAUGGUGGUGAUCAGGGAUACUUGAACGAGAUAUUCACAUGGUGGCAUCGGAUUCCAAAGCACAUGAAUUUCCUGAAGCAUUUCUGGGAGGGUGAUGAAGAGGAGGUGAAGGCGAAGAAGACCCAGCUGUUCGGUGCCAACCCACCGAUCCUCUACGUCCUCCACUACCUGGGCCGCAAGCCAUGGCUAUGCUUCCGGGACUAUGACUGCAACUGGAACGUUCCGAUACUGCGGGAGUUUGCCAGUGACAUCGCGCACACCCGGUGGUGGAAGGUGCAUGACAAGAUGCCCAAGAAGCUCCAGAGCUACUGCCUCCUGAGGUCGAGGCUGAAGGCAGGGCUGGAGUGGGAGCGGAGGCAGGCGGAGAAGGCCAACUUCACCGACGGGCACUGGAAGCGGAACAUCACCGACAAGAGGCUCAAGAUUUGCUUCGAGAAGUUCUGCUUCUGGGAGAGCAUGCUGUGGCACUGGGGCGAGGCCCCCAACAACGCGACGAAGAAGGCCCCGACGCCGGCGCUGCCCGCCGCGACCCUGUCGAGCUCGUGA
rnacentral:rRNA from 1 species